UUUCUACGGAGAGUUUGAUCCUGGCUCAGGACGAACGCUGGCGGCGUGCUUAACACAUGCAAGUCGAGCGGUAAGGCCCUUUCGGGGGUACACGAGCGGCGAACGGGUGAGUAACACGUGAGUAAUCUGCCCUUCACUUGGGGAUAAGCUUCGGAAACGGGGUCUAAUACCUGAUACGAC
rnacentral:rRNA from 1 species